rnacentral:rRNA from 1 species
AGUGAACGCUGGCGGUAGGCCUAACACAUGCAAGUCGAACGGCAGCACAGUAAGAGCUUGCUCUUACGGGUGGCGAGUGGCGGACGGGCGAGGAAUACAUCGGAAUCUACUUUUUCGUGGGGGAUAACGUAGGGAAACUUACGCUAAUACAGCAUACGAUCUACGGGUGAAAGCAGGGGAUCUUCGGACCUUGCGCGAUUGAAUGAGACGAUGUCGGAUUAGCUAGUUGGCGGGGUAAAGGCCCACCAAGGCGACGAUCCGUAGCUGGUCUGAGAGGAUGAUCAGCCACACUGGAACUGAGACACGGUCCAGACUCCUACGGGAGGCAGCAGUGGGGAAUAUUGGACAAUGGGCGCAAGCCUGAUCCAGCCAUACCGCGUGGGUGAAGAAGGCCUUCGGGUUGUAAAGCCCUUUUGUUGGGAAAGAAAAGCAGCAGGUUAAUACCCCGCUGUUCUGACGGUACCCAAAGAAUAAGCACCGGCUAACUUCGUG